rnacentral:lncRNA from 1 species
CUGAUGUGGUGCAGGUAAUUGGAGUUGCAAAAUAGCUUGUACACGCUGAGAAGUUAGAUGUCUGGUGCCAUGGGAAAGACAAUGUCCCAAGAAGACCACAGAGGGCCGGCACCAUUGCAGCUUGGAUUUGGAAGUUUUGCAACCUGCAGCAGCGAGAAAACAUAGGAGAUCUUCUGAGUCACGCUCUGCAAUAAGCAAAUUAGGAGCACAGAGAAGGAGGUCAUCAACAUAUUGAAGUAGAAUAACAUCCAGAUGAGUAUGGGGGUUUGGAACAAUAGCAGUGUCCUUUAUGGUUACUUCAUUAACAGCACGGAGGUCCUGUACCAUGCGGUACUGGUCGGGUUGGCCCUUAACAGUUCGCUUUUUAACAGGGAAAAGUGGGGUGUUGUAUGGAGAUGUGCACUUGGUGAGGGCACCUUUGGCAAGCAGAGACUCAACUUGUUUGGUGAUGGUUUCAGCUUGUGGUGACUUCAGAGGAUACUGAGGUCUACGAAGAGGAAGUGCUCCAGGCAGGAGCUGGACCAGGACGGGGGGUACAUGUAAGCGUCCAAUAUCAUCCGGGCCGGUGGACCAAAGUUCUUGGGGGAUACGAUCCAGAGCACUGGGGGGGGGUGUGACCCGUGCACUCCCUGUAUUGUCAGUUAGGUUCAACAAGAUGGGGAGUGAGCAGAGUACAGUGGUGUCUGACUGUGAUAAGGGUGUAGUUAACUGGACCCUGGAGCCGAGAAGGAACAUCAGCACCCAAGAGGUUAAUGGGACAAGUAGAAGAAACAACAAAACGUGAGAGUAUGUGUGAACCAACAUGCAGGAGUGUAGGGAGGGGGCUACUGCGGGGUGUACCAUCCACCCCAACACAGGAGACAUCGGUGUCUGACAAAAAGGAGGGGUCAUGGCAGGGGUUGCUGACACAGGCUUGCCGGUAACCUAUUGCAGUAAAUCUAAAUGGGCCUGGUCGGGUCCUUGGUACCGGCGGGUAGAAGUGGGAGGGUGGCUGGACUGCAUAGGAGCACGGGCAAGGCGGCUUUGUCGAGGUAGGGGCUGAAUAUCUCGGAAACCACCCGUGUCAAACCCAUCAGCAUGAGCUGGAGGGUAUGCACGGGCCUCUAAAGCAGGGGGCCGGCUGGGAUGGGCGUGAUAGGUGAGUAUUAAGGACGUGAGCAAGGGUAGAGAUUGGAUCGGAAGGCUCGGGGACGUUAGCCGGGGGCGGAGAAGGGGUUGGAGGAUCAGAGGGAGGAGGAGGAGGUAAAUCAGUGGGAGGCGGGGCAGGAAUCGCGGAAUUAACCAGGGAGGUAACAGCAGAGAAGAGGGCGGAUAUCGAGCUAGACAGGUCAUUGGCCAUGGUUGGGUCAGGGGUCACCGGGGGAGAGGUCGGAGGGAUGGGAACAGGGGGCUGGGUCGUAACAGCGUGGGUAAACCAGUCGGGGGAGGAGGAGACAACGAGGUAGAGGGGGCCAGGACUUCGGGAGGAGGAGGUAACACUGGAGAAGGGGUGGUAACGGGGGGUUGGGUCAGGGCGGUGAGGGCAGAAAUCAGGGACGGCAAAUCGGCCGAGGGAGGAGGAGGCAACGAGGUAGAGGGGACCGGGACUUCGGGAGGAGGAGGUAACACUGGAGAAGGGGUGGUAACGGGGGGUUGGGUCAGGGCGUUGAGGGCAGAAAUCAGGGACGGCAAAUCGGCCGAGGGAGGAGGAGGCAACGAGGUAGAGGGGACCGGGACUUCGGGAGGAGGAGGUAACACUGGAGAAGGGGUUGGAUGGGUGGUAACGGGGGGCUGGGUCAGGGCGGUGAGGGCAGAGUUUAGGGACGGCAAAUCAGUCGGGAGGGGAGGGGACAACGAGGUAGAAGAGAGGUCCGGAGGCAUAAGGGAAGCGGGAUCAGCGGGAGGAAAAGGGUCUGGAGGAUCUGGGGCGGUGGGGUGAGUAAGGUCGAGAGGGCAGAGAGCGGGGCAGCGGAUGGAGACGGGUGAGUGGGUAACACUGGGGAGGGGUCAGUCGAGGUGGAGAGGGGACGAGAGGCAAGCAUAGGUAAAGGUGGCGGGGGACAGGGAGGCGGAGGAAU